UGGGGAAUCUUCCGCAAUGGACGAAAGUCUGACGGAGCAACGCCGCGUGAGUGAAGAAGGUUUUCGGAUCGUAAAGCUCUGUCUUCAGGGGCGAACGUGAGAUAUAUGAAUAAUGUAUCUUAAUGACGGUACCUGAGGAGGAAGCCACGGCUAACUACGUGCCAGCAGCCGCGGUAAUACGUAGGUGGCAAGCGUUGUCCGGAAUUAUUGGGCGUAAAGGGCGCGCAGGCGGGAUGGUAAGUCCAACUUAAAAGUGCGGGGCUCAACUCCGUGAGGGGUUGGAAACUACCAUUCUUGAGUGCAGGAGAGGAAAGUGGAAUUCCUAGUGUAGCGGUGAAAUGCGUAGAUAUUAGGAGGAACACCAGUGGCGAAGGCGACUUUCUGGACUGUGUCUGACGCUGAGGCGCGAAAGCCAGGGGAGUGAACGGG
rnacentral:rRNA from 2 species